rnacentral:rRNA from 1 species
GACGAACGCUGGCGGCGUGCUUAACACAUGCAAGUCGAACGGAAAGGCCCUGCUUUUGUGGGGUGCUCGAGUGGCGAACGGGUGAGUAACACGUGAGUAACCUGCCCUUGACUUUGGGAUAACUUCAGGAAACUGGGGCUAAUACCGGAUAGGAGCUCCUGCUGCAGGGUGGGGGUUGGAAAGUUUCGGCGGUUGGGGAUGGACUGGCGGCUUAUCAGCUUGUUGGUGGGGUAGUGGCUUACCAAGGCUUUGACGGGUAGCCGGCCUGAGAGGGUGACCGGCCACAUUGGGACUGAGAGACGGCCCAGACGCCUACGGGAGGCAGCAGUGGGGAAUAUUGCACAAUGGGCGGAAGCCUGAUGCAGCAACGCCGCGUGCGGGAUGACGGCCUUCGGGGUGUAAACCGCUUUCGCCUGUGACGAAGCGUGAGUGACGGUAAUGGGUAAAGAAGCACCGGCUAACUACGUG